rfam:Danio rerio chromosome 15, GRCz11 reference primary assembly.
UUGCCUUAGAAACCAAGCAUGGGUGUGGCCUGAAUCCUCCAAUGGCGACCCAUCCUUGGUUUCUGAGGCUG